CCUACGGGUGGCAGCAGUGAGGAAUAUUGGUCAAUGGGCUAAGGCCUGAACCAGCCAAGUCGCGUGAGGGAAGACGGUCCUAUGUCUUGUAAACCUCUUUUGUCGGGGAGCAACGAGGCCACGUUUGGCCGAAGUGCGAGUCCCCGAAGAUAAAGCCUCGGCUAACUCCGUGCCAGCAGCCGCGGUAAUACUGAGGAUGCGAGCUUUAUCCGGAUUUAUUGGGUUUAAAGGGUGCGUAGGCGGAACAUUAAGUCAGCGGUAAAAUCGAGGGGCUCAACCCCUUUAAGCCGUGGAAACUGGUGAUCUUGAGUGGGCGAGAAGUAGGCGGAAGGCGUGGUGGAGCGGUGAAAUGCAUAGAUAUCACGAAGAACUCCGAUUGCGAAGGCAGCAUACCGGCGCCCGACUGACGCUGAGGCACGAAAGCGUGGGGAUCGAACAGGAUUAGAUACACUAGUAGUC
rnacentral:rRNA from 1 species